rnacentral:rRNA from 1 species
GACGAACGCUGGCGGCGUGCUUAACACAUGCAAGUCGAACGGAAAGGCCCUGCUUUUGUGGGGUGCUCGAGUGGCGAACGGGUGAGUAACACGUGAGUAACCUGCCCUUGACUUUGGGAUAACUUCAGGAAACUGGGGCUAAUACCGGAUAGGAGCUCCUGCUGCAUGGUGGGGGUUGGAAAGUUUCGGCGGUUGGGGAUGGACUCGCGGCUUAUCAGCUUGUGGGUGGGGUAGUGGCUUACCAAGGCUUUGACGGGUAGCCGGCCUGAGAGGGUGACCGGCCCCAUUGGGACUGCGAUACGGCCCAGACUCCUACGGGAGGCAGCAGUGGGGAAUAUUGCGCAAUGGGCGGAAGCCUGAUGCAGCAACGCCGCGUGCGGGAUGACGGCCUUCGGGUUGUAAACCGCUUUCGCCUGUGACGAAGCGUGAGUGACGGUAAUGGGUAAAGAAGCACCGGCUAACUACGUG